rnacentral:rRNA from 1 species
GACGAACGCUGGCGGCGUGCUUAACACAUGCAAGUCGAACGGAAAGGCCCUGCUUGUGGGGUAUUCGCGUGUCGCACACGGGAGUAUAACGCGGGUGUUACCUGCCCUUCACUGGGGUAUACCUGCGGGAAAGUGGGGCUAAUACGGGAGAGGAGCUCCUGCGGCAGGGUGUGGGUUGGAAAGUUUGGGCGGUGAGGAGUGGACUCGCGGCUUGUCUGUUUGUUGGUGGGGUAGUGGCUUACCAAGGGUCUGAUGGGUGGCCGGCCUGGGAGGGUGACCGGCACAAUUGGGAUUGAGAUAGGGCCAAGCCCCCUCGGGGAGGAAGAAGUGGGGAAUAUUGAACAAUGGGCGGAAGCCUGAUGAAGCAACGCGGCGUGCGGGAUGACGGCCUUCGGGUUGUAACCCGCUUCCGCCUGUGACGAAGCGUGAGUGACGGUAAUGAGUUAAGAAGCACCGGCUAACUACGUG